GCAAAUUCAUUACAGUUGUAACUUUUAGGUGCUACGUGUAAUUCAGCAUAGGGCAAAGCCCUCUUUUAUAACCAACCUAACCAUUUUAUGGAACUUUAACAAAAUAAGCCGAGUAGUACCGUAGAAAAAACAUUUGACUGUGCAUCUCAAGUCUCACCUUGAGAGCUGACUAUCAAAGAAUGCUGUUAGAAAGAGCUCUCUCUGUGAUGUUCUGCUUCUUUAGUUAAGAAGGAAAUAAGUGACACACUUUUUAGAGGAAUCCAGGCAGUGGGUAGAAGGUCAGAUUAGUGCUCGCUAGAGAUCCACCCAAAGCUCCACGGCUUCUUCUAGCUCAGAAAAUACAGAUACUUAGAAUAUAAUUUUUUUCCAUUUUAAUUGGACACAUAGGUUAACAGUAUGUUUUACUUUCAAUAUUUAUUGCUGGUGAUGUUUAUUACUUAUGUGAUAUCAAGUGUUUGAUCAGGAAUCAAUCCUAACUACAAUGAUGUUCUGGGAAAACAUUUUGCUUUAUAAGGAGUACACUGUAGUAAAAAGUAGAGCCCAUCCGUGAAACAUUAGAAAAUACUAGUCCCAAAAGAAGUAACAUUUAUCACCCCAAACCUGGUAUUCAUGCAUUUAGAGAUAACACUGUAAAAUAUGUGAUGUUAUUUUGUUACCUCUCAAAUCCAUCAAAAAAUAAAUGAUUCCAAAUGUACAUUUAUAUUUGCAGCAAAUUUUAAGAUAGACAGUACUUUUAAAGUAGGCAUUUAAACUCAACACAUGAAAAGCUGAAAUGCGAUGUUAAAUGACAUCUGAAGAUUUUGAAAUGCAUUUAAAAAUCCAAAUAAAGCACCACAAUUUCCUUAAGUUAUUUCCUUUAUUUUAUAGUGUCAAAAACUUAAAGAUAGGCUUGGGCAAACAUAUAAGGUGUAUAUCUCACAAUUCAGAACUAUGCAAAGAAUUUUUCAAUAUGACCACAAAAUUUACAUACUUUAGUGUAGCGAGUAAUGCUUACUUUUGAACUCUAUCAUUGAUGCUACUUCUAAAGAACAAUGACCCAACCAGAAAGAGUAAAGGCUGCCUUUUCGUUUUUAAAGUGCUAUUAGCCUUAUAUUCAAAAACAAUGGUUUUUACAAAUACAUAAUAUUGAAAGGUAUUCAAAAAGUCACUACUUACAGAAUUAAACAUGUCAUUCUCUAACUUUGCACGUGUACACUGGUUUUAUUUGUGUUAAUAAAGACUGCCCUCCAAGGCUCUCAAUCACAUGCUUCAAAUUAAGAUAGUGUGUAAGUACCAGCAGCAUGAACAAACUCCAAAACAAUUUAAAUGGGUCACAGCAGACCAGAGAAAUUAUUAACAGCUUUUUCUUUUUUUUUUUUUUUUGAGACAGUGUCACCCUGGUUAGAGUACGAUGGUUUCAUAGCUCACAGCAACCUCAAACUCUUGGGCUCAAGGGAUCCUCCUGCCUCA